rnacentral:rRNA from 1 species
AGUGAACGCUGGCGGUAGGCCUAAUACAUGCAAGUCGAACGGCAGCACAGUAAGAGCUUGCCCUUACGGGUGGCGAGUGGCGGACGGGUGAGGCAUACAUCGGAAUCUACUUUUUCGUGGGGGAUAACGUAGGGAAACUUACGCUAAUACCGCAUACGACCUACGGGUGAAAGCAGGGGUUCUUCGGACCUUGCGCGAUUGAAUGAGCCGAUGUCGGAUUAGCUAGUUGGCGGGGUAAAGGCCCACCAAGGCGACGAUCCGUAGCUGGUCUGAGAGGAUGAUCAGCCACACUGGAACUGAGACACGGUCCAGACUCCUACGGGAGGCAGCAGUGGGGAAUAUUGGGCAAUGGGCGCAAGCCUGAUCCAGCCAUACCGCGUGGGUGAAGAAGGCCUUCGGGUUGUAAAGCCCUUUUGUUGGGGAAGAAAAGCAGCAGGUUAAUACCCCGCUGUUCUGACGGUACCCAAAGAAUAAGCACCGGCUAACUUCGUG